GAUGAACGCUAGCGGCAGGCCUAACACAUGCAAGUCGAGCGGGAAGCCCUUUCGGGGGCAGAAACCGCGGCACGGGUGCGUAACACGUAUGCAACCUUCCCUUCACAGGGGGUUAGCCCGAACAAAAUGGGAUUAAUACCCCAAAAUAAUAUGGGAUGGCAUCAUUUGAUAAUUAAAACUGCGUUGGUGCAAGAGGGGCAUGCGUCCUAUUAGCUAGUUGGGGUGGUACCGGCACCCCAAGGCUACGAUAGGUAGGGGUCCUGAGAGGGAGAUGCCCCAGACUGGGACUGAGCCAGGGACCAGACUCCUACGGGACGCAGCCGUAAGGAAUACUGGUCAAGGGUCGGAAGACUGAACCAGCCAUGCCGCGUGCAGGAAGAAUGCGUUAGGGAUUGUAAACUGCUUUUAUAUGGGAAGUAUAAGGUGUACGUGUGCAUUGAUGACGGUACCAGAUGAAUAAGCAUCGGCUAACUCCGUG
rnacentral:rRNA from 1 species